rnacentral:rRNA from 1 species
UACGUAGGCAGCGAGCGUUGUUCGGAAUUACUGGGCGUAAAGAGUGUGUAGGCGGUGCUCCCAGUCUGUUGUGAAAGCCCGCAGCUUAACUGCGGAAGUGCCUUCGAUACCGGCGGGCUAGAGGGAGGUAGGGGUGCGCGGAACUUCUGGUGGAGCGGUGAAAUGCGUUGAUAUCAGAAGGAACGCCGGCGGCGAAAGCGGCGCACUGGAUCUCUACUGACGCUGAGGCGCGAAAGCCAGGGGAGCAAACGGG